GCCUCGGUGGUUCAGUGGUAGAAUACUCGCCUGCCACGCGGGUGACCCGGGUUCGAUUCCCGGCCGACGCA
rnacentral:tRNA from 1 species